rnacentral:tRNA from 1 species
GCGCGGUUCGCUUAUUUGGUAAAGCCCAGUCAGGAGCGUCACAGACCGAAUGACUGAUAACCAGGUUCGAUUCCUGGACCACGCACCA